GGCUUCUCCUUCGGGAGCAGAGUGACAGGUGGUGCAUGGUUGUCGUCAGCUCGUGUCGUGAGAUGUUGGGUUAAGUCCCGCAACGAGCGCAACCCUUGAUCUUAGUUGCCAUCAUUAAGUUGGGCACUCUAAGGUGACUGCCGGUGACAAACCGGAGGAAGGUGGGGAUGACGUCAAAUCAUCAUGCCCCUUAUGACCUGGGCUACACACGUGCUACAAUGGACGGUACAAAGAGCUGCAAGACCGCGAGGUGGAGCUAAUCUCAUAAAACCGUUCUCAGUUCGGAUUGUAGGCUGCAACUCGCCUACAUGAAGCUGGAAUCGCUAGUAAUCGCGGAUCAGCAUGCCGCGGUGAAUACGUUCCCGGGCCUUGUACACACCG
rnacentral:rRNA from 1 species